rnacentral:rRNA from 1 species
GUGGCGAACGGGUGAGUAACACGUGAGUAACCUGCCCUUGACUCUGGGAUAAGCGUUGAAAACGACGUCUAAUACCGGAUACGAGCUGGGACCGCAUGGUCACCAGCUGGAAAGAACUUCGGUCAAGGAUGGACUCGCGGCCUAUCAGCUAGUUGGUGAGGUAACGGCUCACCAAGGCGACGACGGGUAGCCGGCCUGAGAGGGUGACCGGCCACACUGGGACUGAGACACGGCCCAGACUCCUACGGGAGGCAGCAGUGGGGAAUAUUGCACAAUGGGCGCAAGCCUGAUGCAGCAACGCCGCGUGAGGGACGACGGCCUUCGGGUUGUAAACCUCUUUUAGCAGGGAAGAAGCGAAAGUGACGGUACCUGCAGAAAAAGCACCGGCUAACUACGUGCCAGCAGCCGCGGUAAUACGUAGGGUGCAAGCGUUGUCCGGAAUUAUUGGGCGUAAAGAGCUCGUAGGCGGUCUGUCGCGUCUGCUGUGAAAACCCGAGGCUCAACCUCGGGCCUGCAGUGGGUACGGGCAGACUAGAGUGCGGUAGGGGAGAUUGGAAUUCCUGGUGUAGCGGUGGAAUGCGCAGAUAUCAGGAGGAACACCGAUGGCGAAGGCAGAUCUCUGGGCCGUAACUGACGCUGAGGAGCGAAAGCGUGGGGAGCGAACAGGAUUAGAUACCCUGGUAGUCCAC